rnacentral:tRNA from 1 species
CAGGGAGACAUCACUGAUUUUGAUGCCUAAAUAUUUUUUUAGGCCAUAAUCCUGUCACCUUAAGGUCGAUCGGUACCUCACUUAGAUUUUCCAGAACAAAGAAAUUUGUUUUAGAACUUUUGAAUUCAGUUCCUAAACUUUGUCUAGGUCACACCCAACAUGGGUACUCCUGGGCCAUUAGCUCAGGUGGUUAGAGCGCACCCCUGAUAAGGGUGAGGUCCCUGGUUCAAGUCCAGGAUGGCCCAUUCUAAUUUGGGGGUAUAGCUCAGUUGGUAGAGCGCCUGCUUUGUAAGCAGGAUGUCAGCGGUUCGAGUCCGCUUACCUCCACUGAUCAAACUCCUAAUGACGAACCCCAAGGAUAUUUGUGUCGCUGUGAUCUAGCAUAUGUUCUAUAUGAAUGAACCUAGCUUCUUGUCAUUCCUCAAGACGAUAGUUUUUUGUAUGGCUGAUAAGACGCUGGGCUCCCUGCAAUCUUCAUUGCAGAGAUGUUCAGCAGAACCUUGACAACUGCAUAGUGAAGUCUGGAAAGAAUAAAGCAUCUCAUGGAUGCAUUAUCUUUUUAUUCAACUAGUUAGUCCACUGAUUAAUUCAGAGGUUAACUAAAUUGAUUUAAAAUUAUAAUGUUCAAUUCUUGAGCAAGAGCUGAGACUCUAAAUACGCUCUUUCAUUACUUAGUAAUGAAAGUUAGAUUUUUAAUAUAAUUUUUGCUUUUAAAUAGUACGAAUUUUCAUAUUAUUUAAAUUCAAGAAUAACAAUAAAUUAAAGAGAAAAGUGCUAACAACACAGGCGUUUUAGAGAUUAAU